rnacentral:rRNA from 1 species
UGCCUUAGUAACGGCGAGUGAAGCGGCAAAAGCUCAAAUUUGAAAUCUGGCGUCUUCGACGUCCGAGUUGUAAUUUGAAGAAGGCAACUUUGUAGCUGGUCCUUGUCUAUGUUCCUUGGAACAGGACGUCAUAGAGGGUGAGAAUCCCGUGUGGCGAGGAUCCCAGUUAUUUGUAAAGUGCUUUCGACGAGUCGAGUUGUUUGGGAAUGCAGCUCUAAGUGGGUGGUAAAUUCCAUCUAAAGCUAAAUAUUGGCGAGAGACCGAUAGCGAACAAGUACAGUGAUGGAAAGAUGAAAAGAACUUUGAAAAGAGAGUGAAAAAGUACGUGAAAUUGUUGAAAGGGAAGGGCAUUUGAUCAGACAUGGCGUUUGCUUCGGCUUUCGCUGGGCCAGCAUCAGUUUUAGCGGUUGGAUAAAUCCUCGGGAAUGUGGCUCUGCUUCGGUAGAGUGUUAUAGCCCGUGGGAAUACAGCCAGCUGGGACUGAGGAUUGCGACUUUUGUCAAGGAUGCUGGCGUAAUGGUUAAAUGCCGCCCGUCUUG